UGCAAGUCGAGCGGUAACAGGUGUAGCAAUACAUGCUGACGAGCGGCGAACGGGUGAGCAAUGCUUCGGAAUCUGCCCAAUGGUGUGGAAUAACCAGCCGAAAGGUUGGCUAAUACCGCAUAAGCCCUACGGGGGAAAGCAGGGGAUCGCAAGACCUUGCGCCGAUGGAUGAGCCGAAGUCGGAUUAGCUAGUUGGUAGGGUAACGGCCUACCAAGGCGACGAUCCGUAGCUGGUCUGAGAGGACGACCAGCCACACUGGGACUGAGACACGGCCCAGACUCCUACGGGAGGCAGCAGUGGGGAAUAUUGGACAAUGGGGGCAACCCUGAUCCAGCGACGCCGCGUGUGUGAAGAAGGCCUGCGGGUUGUAAAGCACUUUUAGUGGGGAUGAAAAGCUCAGGGAUAACACCUCUGGGUCUUGACCUAACCCACAGAAAAAGCACCGGCUAACUCUGUGCCAGCAGCCGCGGUAAUACAGAGGGUGCAAGCGUUAAUCGGAAUUACUGGGCGUAAAGCGUGCGUAGACGGUAGCGUAAGUCGGGUGUGAAAG
rnacentral:rRNA from 1 species